rnacentral:rRNA from 1 species
ACCGUACUCCUACGGGAGGCAGCAGUGGGGAAUUUUGGACAAUGGGGGCAACCCUGAUCCAGCAAUGCCGCGUGAGUGAAGAAGGCCUUCGGGUUGUAAAGCUCUUUUGUCAGGGAAGAAACGGUAGUAGCUAAUAUCUAUUACUAAUGACGGUACCUGAAGAAUAAGUACCGGCUAACUACGUGCCAGCAGCCGCGGUAAUAAGUAGGGUGCAAGCGUUAAUCGGAAUUACUGGGCGUAAAGCGUGCGCAGGCGGUUGUGUAAGUCAGAUGUGAACUCCCCGGGCUCAACCUGGGAAUUGCAUUAGAGACUGCAAGGAUAGAGUGUGUCAGAGGGGGGUAGAAUUCCACGUGUAGCAGUGAAAUGCGUAGAUAUGUGGAGGAAUACCGAUGGAGAAGGCAGCCCCCUGGGAUAACACUGACGCUCAUGCACGAAAGCGUGGGGAGCAAAAAGGAUUAGAAACCCCAGUAGUCCUUGAC